UUCUCUGUAAAAUGGGCAUCAACUGAGAAGGCUCCAGUCCCCAGAGUCAUUGAGGAUUUGGUUCCCUUCGCUGCUGUCUGCUUGUCUUCCAAAGAGCGGCCUUGGUGCCUUUCUGAGCCUCCAACAGAUUUUCAGAGCAACCAUCGUGGAAUCUUAAGAUGUUUCUGGAACCUUGACGCAAUAACAGCCCAGGAGCAGAGAGACCAGCUAGUACCCAGAUCUUGAUUUCUAAAUGCUGUUACCCACCAGGAGGAACUAAAAUUUUCUGCAGAAAUGGCUGACUCCAGAUCCAUGAAAAUGAAGCUCCAUGUCAAGCCUGGGAUGUCUUAUGGUCCCAAGAAGGAAGGAUAUGCUUAAAAACUACUGAGGUCACAUGGAAAGGACACGGAAGCUGACUGAGGGAUCUGCCUCACUAAGUUUUGGGACUACUGAGCAUCAAAAAGAAUGACUGUAAGGGGGCCGAGCUUGGUGGCUCAUGCCUGUAAUUCCAGCACUUUGGGAGGUCAAGAUGGGCGGAUCACGAGGUCAAGAGAUCGAGACCAUCCUGGCCAACAUGGUGAAACCCCGUCUCUACUAAAAAUGCAAAACUUGGCCGGACAUGGUGGUGGGCCCUGUGGUCCCAGCUACUUGGGGAGGCUGAGGCAGGAGAAUCACUUGAACCUGUGAGAGGGAGUUUGCAGUGAGCUGAUAUAGCGCCACUGCACUCCAGCCUGGUGACAGAGUGAGACUCCAUCUCAAAACAAAACAAAACAAAACAAGAAUGACUAUAGUUAAUUAAAAUGCA
rnacentral:lncRNA from 10 species